CCUACGGGUGGCAGCAGUGGGGAAUAUUGCACAAUGGGGGAAACCCUGAUGCAGCGACGCCGCGUGAGUGAAGAAGUAUUUCGGUACGUAAAGCUCUAUCAGCAGGGAAGAAAAAAAGUCCUUUGGACUUUGGACGGUACCUGACCAAGAAGCCCCGGCUAACUACGUGCCAGCAGCCGCGGUAAUACGUAGGGGGCAAGCGUUAUCCGGAUUUACUGGGUGUAAAGGGAGCGUAGACGGCAUAGCAAGUCUGAAGUGAAAGCCCGUGGCUCAACCGCGGAACUGCUUUGGAAACUGUUAAGCUGGAGGACUGGAGAGGCAAGCGGAAUUCCUAGUGUAGCGGUGAAAUGCGUAGAUAUUAGGAGGAACACCAGUGGCGAAGGCGGCUUGCUGGACAGAGACUGACGUUGAGGCUCGAAAGCGUGGGGAGCAAACAGGAUUAGAUACCCGAGUAGUC
rnacentral:rRNA from 1 species